rnacentral:sRNA from 2 species
AUGUACCACCCGUACACACCGGCCUGCGCGCCGUCCGCACACCCGACGACAGCCCACUCAGUUUUUGGUAGCC